GGUAUAUGAUGAAAACCUUUUUAAAUCAGUUCUGCUUAUGAAGUAAAUUGAUUAAUACCUAAAAAACCAAAACAAAACCUGAGAA
rnacentral:snoRNA from 1 species